CCUUCAUGAAGCCGGAAUUGCUAGUAAUGGCAGGUCAGCAUACUGCCGUGAAUACGUUCCCGGGCCUUGUACACACCGCCCGUCGCACCAUGAGAGUUGGGGAUACCCGAAGCCUGUGAGCUAACUAUUUAUAGGAGCAGCAGUCGAAGGUAGAAUCAAUGAUUGGGGUGAAGUCGUAACAAGGUAAC
rnacentral:rRNA from 1 species